rnacentral:lncRNA from 1 species
AAAACUGCAUUUUACCCCUAUGUUCUAUUUUUAACCGUAGCGACCAUCUUUGUUGGUUAGCCCGGUCACAAAACACAAUUUUUAAACUUAAUAGCCUAAUAAUGAUUCUGGCAAUGUUUGGUAAAAUUUGGCUAAGUAGUUUCAGAGAAGAAGAUUUUUGAAAAAGUUAACUUAGAUUUACGAAAAAAUUGUUAAAAAUGGACUAUAAAGGGCAAUAACUCCUAAAGGGGUCAACUGACCAUUUUGGUUUCUAGUGACUUAUUUGUAAAUCUUACUUUGCUGAACAUUUUUGCUGUGUGUACAGUUUAUAUCUAUCCAUAAUAAUAUUCAAGAUAAUUACCAAAAACAGUAAAAUUUCCUUAAAAUUACCAAUUUAGGGGCAGCAACCCAACAAUGGGUUGUCUGAUUCAUCUGAAAAUUUCAGGGCAGAUAGAUCUUGACCAGAUAAACAAUUUUACCCAUUGUCAGAUUUGCUCUAAAUGCUCUAAAUGCUUUGGUUUUUGAGUAAUAACCAAAAACUGCAUUUAACCUCCAUAUUCUAUUUUUAGCCGUGGCGGUCAUCUUGGUUGGUUGGCCGGGUCAAAAAACACAAUUUUCUAGAUACAUCAAUGAUGAUUGUGGCCAAGUAUGGAUUAAUUUGGCCCAGUAGUUUCAGAGAGGAAGAUUUUUGUAAAAGAUCAUGGAGAUUUACGAAAAAUGACUAAAAUUGACUAUAAAGGGCAAUAUCUCCUAAAGGGAUCAACUGACCAUUUUGGUCAUGUUGCCUUAUUUGUAAAUCUUACUUUGAUGACCGUUAUUGCUGUUUUCAGUUUAUCUCCAUCUAUAAUAAUUUUCAAGAUAAUAACCAAAAACAUUAAAUUUCCUUAAAAUUACCAAUGUAGGGGCAGCAACCCAACAAUGGGUUGUCUGAUUCAUCUGAAAAUUUCAGGGCAGAUAGAUCUUGAUCUGAUAAACAAUUUUACUCCAUUUCAGAUUUGCUCUAAAUGCUUUGUUUUUUUAGUUUUAAGCCAAAAACUGCAUUUUACCCCUGUGUUCCUUUUUUUUUUGCCAUGGCGGCCAUCUUGGUUGGUUGGCCGGGUAAAAAAACACAAAUUUUAAGCAAGAUACAUCAAUGAUGAUUGUUGCCAAGUUUGGUUUAAUUUGGCCCAGUAGUUUUAGAGGAGAAGAUUUUUGUAAAAGUUAACGACGACGGACGACAGACGAUGGACGACGACAGACGACGGACGACAGACGCCAAGUGAUGAGAAAAGCUCACUUGGCCUUUUAGGCCAGGUGAGCUAAAAACAUGUUAUGAAAACAUAUUAUGCCAACAUGAAUCGUGAAGCAAUACAAAUAAUUCUAAAACUUUCUGAUCACUGUGCUCUUAAAAUUACAUUCUGAGUUUACUUUUUUUUUAGUCAGUAAAAUUUGAAUGUAUUUGCA